GCACUGCUGAGGAGUCUCAUAGUAGGACGAAACGGCCGUGCAGUGC
rnacentral:hammerhead_ribozyme from 1 species